rnacentral:rRNA from 1 species
GAGCUAUAGGCGGAAACCUAUAAGCGCAAUAAAAGUGAACGCUGUUUCGGACAGCCGAGGUACGAUCCUAGAUUCGCUCUAGGCGCAGUACCGUCUCAUCCCUAAGGCACGUCCUAAGGGUGAAGACAGAGUGCAUACGUUGGGACCCGAAAGAUGGUGAACUAUGCCUGAGCAGAGCGAAGCCAGAGGAAACUCUGGUGGAGGUUCGUAGCGGUUCUGACGUGCAAAUCGAUCGUCAGACUUGGGUAUAGGGGCGAAAGACUAAUCGAACCAUC